UUUGCCGAUAACUUAAUUUUCGGGUCGAUCAGCAGUCGGUAAAAACCACGCUGUUGAAAAGGUAGUUUUUCGCUGUGCUCGUUCCGCUUUAGCUUGCUGUUUUGCAUUUUCACCGGUCGUUACUUUUGUCCAAAGAACAUUUUCCGCAUCACCAAGGGGUACCCCGAAGACGAACCCAGAAUACAAGGCAGCUCCGUGACACCGAGAUCAUGGUAACUCGUGAAGCAACAUCUCAGAAUUGAAUCGGGGAACGAGGAAUCAAAAAAAGGUUAACAAUUUGGAUCAUUUUGGAAGAUACAUACGCCGCGCUUUUCAAAGCGGACAGACGUGCCCUUGUCCAACUGAAACGAACACACGUGUCCUGUUAAACUUGAAAAAAGACGAAAUUAUUUUUAAAAAGAUCAUGGUAACUCGUGAAGCAACAUCUCAGAAUUGAAUCGGCGAGUUGUGUAUUUGCUGGCAAUCCGAGCCUGCUUGGAUCAUUUUGGAAGAUACAUACGCCUGCGCUUUUCAAAGCGGACAGACAUGCCCGUGUCCAACUUGACAAAGGCGGAAUUAUUUUAGGAAAGGUAUAUUAUUUGUAAAAAAAAAUAUACAAUUUUUAAGUAACAUAUUUGACAGACCAUGGCUACUAGUAAAGCAGAAUCCGAGAAUUCAAUCGGCGGCUGUAUGUUGACUGACAAGAAUAUAAUUGCUGUUAAUCCGGCCCUGCUUCUUGUACAAAUGCAUAGUGGGGAGACAUGAACAUUUUUCGAAAUUGCGGCCCUAUCCUCUUGGGAUUCUACUUUGGACAAAUUCUGAAAACGACCCAGAAAUAUAAUUGGUGAGAAAAUAGUUUUUUUGUUGUGUUAACAGUUAACAAUUUUUUAUUUUGGAAAUAAGGGGUUUCAGUGUGUACUGGUAUUAGUGAAUCAAUUUAAUGACCUCAGCAUCUCUAAACCCCCAUCUUGAGACGCGUUAACGAUCCGGAUCGAGUUACGUCGCGUAAUUGUGUCACUUUUUUUAAUUAAAAAAUGAAAGAGAUGUACCUACCAUACUUUAGAAACCCCUACUCCCCUUUGGAGGUGAUGAAAUAAGUUUUGGCAUAAAAUAUAAGUUCCUCGUAUUACUUUGAUAUGAUAAGUAUAAGUCUUGCCUGUUUUUUUUUUUUUUAAAGGAGGUUCAAACCCGUGCGAGGUGAGGUUUGAUAUAUGAAACAGACCAGUCAUGGGGACACGAGAUAUGGAAAGUUUCAGCGUAGUCGUCGCCACAUUGCUGCCAACACUGCAUAUAUAAGGAAUCACGAACCAUUCAGGAAUAUUGAGACUUAGACCAGUAUCUUUUUAAGUAGGCAUGUGGGGUAAAGAAGACGCAGAAGCUUCAGUCGGGUACCAUCGGUAACGUAGGCGAUUGAUAUAUUUCCACCACUACAUAUGUUGGAUUGGAAUUUUCCAUUUGAUGCUUUGACUGACUAAAUGA